AAUAAGUGAGAUUAUCUGUUUGGGCCUGUGUAGAUUGUAUAUCAGGUCCGCUGUGUUCACCAUGUGUUAACUAUUCUGGAUCCAAGGUGGCUGUGGCCAGAGGCUCACCAAGAGCCACGUUUUCAACAUUUCCACGAGAUUCCACGUCGCUGCAGUGUUACCUUUUCGGAAGAAUCACUUGCCAAGAUUCCUUUUUCUCUUCAAGAGAUGGGCGGGCACUUCCGUAUUCGACGCCGACAAAAUCUUUCACCACCAACAAGACAAGUCAUCUGUCACGCGAUUUCGGGCACGUUCACGUAGUAGGAAAAGAAAAAC